GAGGUGCAACACUUUCCUCUUCCUGCUCUCCUCCCUCUCUCCAGGCGUUUUUUGAUUUCUCCUCUCACCUCCUCUUUCUCUCUCCCCCUUUCAUAUCCCAGAGUGCCUCUUUCUUCUGUUCGUCUCUUCCGAUCGCAAGUUCUCCUCAAGUGUUGAACAUGCAGAGCGGCUGGCGAGGUGAAACAACAAGAUGUUUAAAAAGUCUUUCUGCAUAAUCCAGCUAUCCUUUGCCAGGACCUCCACAGCCUGUCUGGUCCUCCUGAGCAGUUACUGCCUUCCCAGCAUUAUCCAGCAGGCCCAUCUGUGAGUUGGAGGACGAGAUCUGAUUGAAGCACGGGAUCUACAGUGCUAAUCUAAUGUACAUAUGAGCAAAUAUGCAGCAAUGCUUUGAAUGAGCAUUAAGCCUCUUCAAAAUGUGUGAAUAUAGAUAAUGAAUAAAUCGGUUCUCUUCAAA